UACGGAGGGUGCAAGCGUUAAUCGGAAUUACUGGGCGUAAAGCGUGCGUAGGCGGUUUGUUAAGUCAGAUGUGAAAGCCCUGGGCUCAACCUGGGAACUGCAUUUGAUACUGGCAGGCUAGAGUAUGGUAGAGGGAAGUGGAAUUCCGGGUGUAGCGGUGAAAUGCGUAGAUAUCCGGAGGAACACCAGUGGCGAGGGCGACUUCCUGGACCAAUACUGACGCUGAGGUACGAAAGCGUGGGUAGCAAACAGG
rnacentral:rRNA from 1 species